CAGCAGCCACGGGAACACAGAGGGUGCGAGCGUUAAUCGGAUUUACUGGGCGUAAAGCGUGCGUAGGCGGCUUCUUAAGUCGGAUGUGAAAUCCCUGAGCUUAACUUAGGAAUUGCAUUCGAUACUGGGAAGCUAGAGUAUGGGAGAGGAUGGUAGAAUUCCAGGUGUAGCGGUGAAAUGCGUAGAGAUCUGGAGGAAUACCGAUGGCGAAGGCAGCCAUCUGGCCUAAUACUGACGCUGAGGUACGAAAGCAUGGGGAGCAAACAGGAUUAGAUACCCGAGUAGUCCCUGUCUCUUAUAC
rnacentral:rRNA from 1 species